AUUGAACGCUGGCGGCAGGCCUAACACAUGCAAGUCGAGCGGAGCGGCGGACGGGUGAGUAAUACCUAGGAAUCUGCCUGAUAGUGGGGGAUAACGUUCGGAAACGGACGCUAAUACAGCAUACUAUCAGAUGAGCCUAGGUCGGAUUAGCUAGUUGGUGGGGUAAUGGCUCACCAAGGCUACGAUCCGUAACUGGUCUGAGAGGAUGAACAGUCAGACUGGAACUGGGACACGUUCCAGACUCCUCCGGGAGGCAGCAGUGGGGAAUAUUGGACAAUGGGCGAAAGCCUGAUCCAGCCAUGCCGCGUGUGUGAAGAAGGUCUUCGGGUUGUAAAGCUCUUUAAGUUGGGAGGCGGUACCUACAGAAUAAGCACCGGCUAACUCUGUGCCAGCCGCCGCGGUAAUAC
rnacentral:rRNA from 1 species